rnacentral:rRNA from 1 species
UACGGAGGGUGCAAGCGUUGUCCGGAAUCACUGGGCGUAAAGGGCGCGUAGGCGGCUCAUGAAGGCUGUGGUGAAAGUCCGGGGCUCAACCUCGGAUCGGCCGUGGCGACUCGUGGGCUGGAGCACUGUAGAGGCGGGUGGAAUUCCGGGUGUAGCGGUGGAAUGCGUAGAGAUCCGGAGGAACACCGAUGGCGAAGGCAGCCCCCUGGGUCAAGAUUGACGCUCAUGCACGAAAGCGUGGGGAGCAACAGG